UAACUGAAGAGUUUGAUCAUGGCUCAGAUUGAACGCUGGCGGCAGGCUUAACACAUGCAAGUCGAGCGGGGGAGAUUGCUUCGG
rnacentral:rRNA from 1 species